rnacentral:rRNA from 1 species
UACGUAGGGUGCGAGCGUAAUCGGAAUUACUGGGCGUAAAGCGUGCGCAGGCGGUUUGUAAGCCAGGUGUGAAAUCCCCGGGCUCAACCUGGGAAUGGCAUUUGGGACUGCAAGGCUGGAGUGCGGCAGAGGAGACUGGAAUUCCUGGUGUAGCAGUGAAAUGCGUAGAUAUCAGGAGGAACACCGAUGGCGAAGGCAGGUCUCUGGGCUGACACUGACGCUCAUGCACGAAAGCGUGGGAG